AGACCCGAAACCCGGUGAUCUAGCCAUGGGCAGGUUGAAGGUUGGGUAACACUAACUGGAGGACCGAACCGACUAAUGUUGAAAAAUUAGCGGAUGACCUGUGGCUGGGGGUGAAAGGCCAAUCAAACCGGGAGAUAGCUGGUUCUCCCCGAAAGCUAUUUAGGUAGCGCCUCGUGAAUUCAUCUCCGGGGGUAGAGCACUGUUUCGGCUAGGGGGCCAUCCCGGCUUACCAACCCGAUGCAAACUGCGAAUACCGGAGAAUGUUAUCACGGGAGACACACGGCGGGUGCUAACGUCCGUCGUGAAGAGGGAAACAACCCAGACCGCCAGCUAAGGUCCCAAAGUCAUGGUUAAGUGGGAAACGAUGUGGGAAGGCCCAGACAGCCAGGAUGUUGGCUUAGAAGCAGCCAUCAUUUAAAGAAAGCGUAAUAGCUCACUGGUCGAGUCGGCCUGCGCGGAAGAUGUAACGGGGCUAAACCAUGCACCGAAGCUGCGGCAGCGAACGUAUCACUUAAAG
rnacentral:rRNA from 1 species